rnacentral:rRNA from 1 species
GAUGAACGCUGGCGGCGUGCCUAAUACAUGCAAGUCGAGCGAACGGACGAGAAGCUUGCUUUUCUGAUGUUAGCGGCGGACGGGUGAGUAACACGUGGAUAACCUACCUAUAAGACUGGGAUAACUUCGGGAAACCGGAGCUAAUACCGGAUAAUAUUUUGAACCGCAUGGUUCAAAAGUGAAAGACGGUCUUGCUGUCACUUAUAGAUGGAUCCGCGCUGCAUUAGCUAGUUGGUAAGGUAACGGCUUACCAAGGCAACGAUGCAUAGCCGACCUGAGAGAGUGAUCGGCCACACUGGAACUGAGACACGGUCCAGACUCCUACGGGAGGCAGCAGUAGGGAAUCUUCCGCAAUGGGCGAAAGCCUGACGGAGCAACGCCGCGUGAGUGAUGAAGGUCUUCGGAUCGUAAAACUCUGUUAUUAGGGAAGAACAUAUGUGUAAGUAACUGUGAACAUCUUGACGGUACCUAAUCAGAAAGCCACGGCUAACUACGUG